rnacentral:lncRNA from 1 species
UCCCAUUUUCUAUGAGCGAAUGAGUCCAUACUUAUUUAUCAUUAGAAAGACCUAUUCGUAAUAAUUUGAGUUUAUUCAUUCUGUCUUUCUUUAUGAAUUUUGAGAAUCUAUGGAUAAAAGAAAUACGAUAAAAACCAAUAUGAAUAUUAUAAAGACAAUAAAAAAAUUGUUACGUUUCCACCUCAAAGUGAAAUAUAGUAUUUAAUUCGUUCUUUCAUUUAAUGCCUAUUGGUGUUCCAAGAGUUGUAUUCCGAAAUCCUGGAGAUCCAAUUUCAUCUUGGGUUGACAUAUAGUGCGACUUGUCAGAUAUAUUGGGUCAUAUGGUAUUUCCCCGUUCUCUCCCCCGAUCGAGAUAUCCCCCGUUUCGCCCAAGAAAGAUAAAUUGAAUCAUCAAAAAUUUGGAGCGUGAAGUGCAAUUAGAUCCAUUUUUGAGGGGAUUCAUAUUACUAUUAUCAAUUAGAAUAAUUUAUGGUUGGCUUGGUUGGACUAAAUAAAUGAAGUAUCCAGGCUCCGUUUAGAAAAAACCCAAUUGGAUUGGUAAGAUAUCUAUGUAAGAUAUCUAUGAUUGCUAUUCAUAUUUUUUCUUUGUAAAGAGAUCCUAAUUGUCAAGCAAAGUUAUCUCAACUCUAAUAAAUACUUGUAUAAAAUGAAUUGAAAAAAAAAAAAAAAAAUACAAAAAGAAAUGGUAAUGGGAGCAUUUGUCCUAUAUGUACAAAUCCAAAUCGGGCGGAUCUUUACCCGGAGUAGAGCAUAAACCUAAAAAGAUGAAACAGACCCAUUCAGGAACAAGAAAAUACCAUCGCGGUUUGGAUUAAAUCUCGAUGAAAGAAUACAUCAAUGAGAAGUUAAUUCGAUAAGUUUAAUGACCCUUUCUUAUAACUUCGAAUUUUAUAAUAGAAAAUAUCAAAAAGGAGUAAAAACUCGUCUUUAUUGAAAAAUCGAAGAAAAGCCCUUUCGUUAGAAGUAAGAAAGAACCCUUGUAGAAAAAAAGAAAGAGGACUGGAAUCUCUACAUUGAUUCACAAUUUUUUUGAACCGUAUGCAUCAAAAGGCGCAUGUACGGUUCCUAAGGGAUACAAUUUUACCCUAAUCAACCGACUUUAUCGAGAAAGAUUACUUUUUUUAGGCCAAGGGAUUGGUACCGAGCUUUCGAAUCAACUUAUUGGUCUUAUGUUGUAUCUCAGUAUGGAGGAUGAGAACAAAGACCUGUAUUUGUUUGUAAACUCUCCUGGGGGCUGGGUAAUACCUGGGAUCGCCAUUUAUGAUACUAUGCAAUUUGUGCGACCAGAUAUCCAUACAAUAUGCCUAGGAUUAGCUGCUUCAAUGGGAUCUUUUAUCCUGGCCGGAGGACAACUUACCAAACGUAUAGCAUUCCCUCACGCUUGGCGCCAAUGAGGUUUUUAUUUGAGAGAAAAAAGAAGACUAUGCCUUCGCCAUAUGAAUACUAAGUAAUAAUAGCAUGGCACUUCGAAUUCGAUAUGAGAAAUUUUUGUAUUGUUUUUUUUUUCAAAACAUUAGAUUCUGUAUCGAGAGAGUAGUAUGAGAUAAGGGGUAUUUCCGAUUUUCUAUUAUAUAUCGGGAGUUCAGUUCAGCGUCACAAACUUUUUGUUUUCAUGCCGGAGAGUUCUUAACAAUAUUUAUGUUAUGAAAGAGUACGAAAAAAAAAUAAUUUUUCCUUAUUUGAUCGGAUUAAAAAGAAACUUUGGGAUUGCUGAAUCACAGACAAAAAAAAGAAAAAAUAAACAUAUAAAGCAACGGAGCCAUCAUAGUAUUUUUGAAUUCCUCCGAAAGGAAGGAUGGCAAUUUGAUUAUUUACCCAUCUGAGUCUGAUAGAUUCUAUUUUUCUCUUUCUUCAAUGGGGGUCAAUUUUCUUGUAGAGCCGUAUGCACAAAAGAUGCCUGUACGGUUGUUCAAUUCUAUCUUUUUUCUAUUCUUUAUCUUUCUUUUUUCUUUGCUUUAUCAUGCGAGAUAGGGGAAGCUUUUAUUUUGUUAUAUCAUCAGGGUAAUGAUACAUGAACCUUAUAGUGGUUUUUAUAUGGCACAAGUAGGCGAAUUUGUCCUGGAAGCGAUAGAAAUGGCGAAACUGCGUGAAACCCUCACAAGGGUUUAUGCAGAAAAAACGGGCCAACCCGUGUGGGUUAUACACGAAGAUAUGGAAAGAGAUAUUUUUAUGUCAGCAACAGAAGCCCAAGCUUAUGGAAUUGUUGAUUUUGUAGCGGUUCAAGGAAAAGAACAUGGAUUUCACGCAGAUCUAUGAUUUGAGAUUUUAUCUUCGAAUUGAAUAUUCUAUUAAAUAGAAGUAAUUCACCAUCAUUCGGUUAGGAUCAAUCUAAACCAACCCAUCAUAUUAUGUAUACGAUUCAACAUGCCAACUAUUAAACAACUUAUUAGAAAUACAAGACAGCCAAUCAGAAAUGUCACGAAAUCCCCCGCUCUUCGGGGGUGCCCUCAGCGUCGAGGAACAUGUACUAGGGUGUAUGUGCGACUCGUUUAGAUCAUGA